rnacentral:rRNA from 1 species
ACGUUUAGUUGCUAACGCGUGAAGGCGAGCACUCUAGACGAACUGCCGUUGACAAAACGGAGGGAAGGUGGGGAUGACGUCAAAUCAUCAUGCCCCUUAUGUUCUGGGCUACACACGUGCUACAAUGGCCGGUACAGACGGACGCAAAGCCGCGAGGUGGAGCAAAUCCUAAAAAGCCGGUCUCAGUUCGGAUUGCAGGCUGCAAUUCGCCUGCAUGAAGUCGGAAUCGCUAGUAAUCGCAGGUCAGCAUACUGCGGUGAAUACGUUCCCGGGCCUU